rnacentral:rRNA from 1 species
GGGAAUAUUGCACAAUGGGCGCAAGCCUGAUGCAGCCAUGCCGCGUGUAUGAAGAAGUAUUUCGGUAUGUAAAGCUCUAUUAGCAGGGAAGAAAAUGACGGUACCUGACUAAGAAACACCGGCUAACUACGUGCCAGCAGCCGAGGUAAUACGUAGGGGGCAAGCGUUACCCGGAUUUACUGGGUGUAAAGGGAGCGUAGACGGUUAUGCAAGUCUGGAGUGAAAGCCCGGGGCUCAACCCCGGGACUGCUUUGGAAACUGUAAAACUGGAGUGCAGGAGAGGCAGGCGGAAUUCCUAGUGUAGCGGUGAAAUGCGUAGAUAUUAGGAGGAACACCAGUGGCGAAGGCGGCCUGCUGGACUGUAACUGACGUUGAGGCUCGAAGGCGUGGGGAGCAAACAG